GUGGGGAAUCUUAGACAAUGGGGGAAACCCUGAUCUAGCCAUGCCGCGUGAGCGAUGAAGGCCUUAGGGUUGUAAAGCUCUUUCAGCUGGGAAGAUAAUGACGGUACCAGCAGAAGAAGCCCCGGCUAACUCCGUGCCAGCAGCCGCGGUAAUACGGAGGGGGCUAGCGUUGUUCGGAAUUACUGGGCGUAAAGCGCGCGUAGGCGGACCAGAAAGUUGGAGGUGAAAUCCCAGGGCUCAACCUUGGAACUGCCUUCAAAACUCCUGGUCUGGAGUUCGAGAGAAGUGAGUGGAAUUCCGAGUGUAGAGGUGAAAUUCGUAGAUAUUCGGAGGAACACCAGUGGCGAAGGCGGCUCACUGGCUCGAUACUGACGCUGAGGUGCGAAAGCGUGGGGAGCAAACAGGAUUAGAUACCCGAGUAGUCC
rnacentral:rRNA from 1 species